rnacentral:rRNA from 1 species
GCGGAAGGAUCAUUAUUGAAUAAACUUGAUGUSGUUGUAGCUGACUCUCUAGGGAGUAUGUGCACGCCCGUCAUCUUUAUAUUUCCACCUGUGCACCUUUUGUAGACCCAGAAGGCUUCAACUGAAGUCGUUUGGGCCUAUGUUUAUCAUAUACCCCAUAGUAUGUAUUAGAAUGUAUCAGUGGGCUUCGUGCCUAUAAACACUAUACAACUUUCAGCAACGGAUCUCUUGGCUCUCGCAUCGAUGAAGAACGCAGCGAAAUGCGAUAAGUAAUGUGAAUUGCAGAAUUCAGUGAAUCAUCGAAUCUUUGAACGCACCUUGCGCUCCUUGGUAUUCCGAGGAGCAUGCCUGUUUGAGUGUCAUUAAAUUCUCAACCUCUCUAGUUUUUUGACUAGUAGAUGGCUUGGAUUUGGGAGUAAUUUUUGCAGGCUUCACAAGUCAGCUCUCCUUAAAUGUAUUAGCCGGUGCCCUCUAACCGUCUAUUGGUGUGAUAAUUAUCUACGCCGUGGACUAUUAGACUUUGGWUGCGCUGCUUAUAAUCGUCCUCUGGACAAUAUUAUGACAUUUGACCCAUAU